UACAGAGGUCUCGAGCGUUGUUCGGAUUCAUUGGGCGUAAAGGGUGCGUAGGUGGCGCUGUAAGUCGGGUGUGAAAUCCUGAGGCUUAACCUCGGAACUGCAUUCGAUACUGCGGCGCUUGAGGACUGGAGAGGAGACUGGAAUUCAUGGUGUAGCAGUGAAAUGCGUAGAGAUCAUGAGGAAGACCAGUGGCGAAGGCGGGUCUCUGGGACGGUACUGACGCUGAGACGCGAAAGCGUGGGGAGCGAACAGG
rnacentral:rRNA from 1 species